rnacentral:rRNA from 1 species
GAUGAACGCUGGCGGCGUGCCUAACACAUGCAAGUCGAGCGGAGUUUAUUAAGGAAGUCUUAGGACGGAAAGAAUAAACUUAGCGGCGGACGGGUGAGUAACACGUGAGCAACUUGCUUUUCACAAAGGGAUAGCCUCGGGAAACUGGGAUUAAUACCUUAUGAUACUUCAAAUUCGCAUGAAAUUGAAGUUAAAGCGUAAAGCGGUAGAAAGAUGGUCUCGCGUCCCAUUAGUUAGUUGGUGAGGUAAC